rnacentral:tRNA from 1 species
UCCCUGGUGGCUCAGAUGGUAGAGAAUCCGCCUGUGAUGCAGGAUACCCUGGUUCAAUCCCUGGACUGGGAA